GUUUGUGAUCAUAAAGAGUCAUAUCAGAUUGCAGUUGGCAGUGUGUAAAAAGUCAAAUUGAUGGUUGGGACGCAAAGGACUUGAGUUGUAAACUAAUUGCUCUGGAAAAGAACUUUGAAACCUUGUGGCCUAGAGCAAAGUUUUAUUAUGGUAUGACUCAGUACAUUUAUCUUCUUCAUCUUUACUCUUUCCACUUUAUAUAUCUUCUUAAACUCUGUUCUCUUAACAUAUCCUAAUGUCUGUCAUAUUGGACAGAUUUAGGUUAAGGAACACAUUUUAAAUGAGUUCACAGUGAAGACGUGCACCAUGAAGUGUGUGUUGUGUUCAGGUGUGGUGGAAUAGCCGGAAACUUAUUAGCAGGAGGCCAGACCAAGAGCUCCGCUGAAUAGAAAUAAAUAGGUUUGAACGUGUAGGUGGUUGAGGCAUCGGAAUUG
rnacentral:lncRNA from 1 species